GAGACAGGAGGUAUUGAAUAAUUCCUUUUCCGGCUCAAUACAUUAUAAAAACAUGCUCUCUUCUCUUUUUCCCAGGCGGCAACCUGCAUUUCUGAAAAGUGGAGCCAAUGCCUUUAACUUGCUUUUUCUCGAAUAUCCAACGCAUCCGCAGGAGGACAGUGCUCAGGAAGUCCCUCAGGUGGAAACGGGGCGAUACAGCAGCCUGACAAACAGGUUGGGUCAAAGGUGGUAAUUGCUGAAAAGUUUGACCCAUCGCUCUGAAGGCCGAUAAUCGUAGAGAUGGGCGUUCGGAGAAGAAGAGAGUGGUGCUGUGUGCAUCAGUCCGCCCCAGGCUGGUCUGCCUGUCUGCCUCCAGCAACACAAGCUGACAGUCGAAUCGUUUGAUGCUGCCUCCUGGAUGAACAGCUGCUGUGAUUGGCUGCCAUUACAAACUGUACACCAUCAGUGACAAUGGCAUUGAAAUUGCAAGAAGAGAUGUUUUGUCAACCAUCUUUUAAAACACUACAUCUGCCAAACAGCAAUAUAAGCUCAUUGUCUGAAUGGAAAUGGUUGUUUGUAAUGUCUUUAAUUUGUCUUCUGUGUUGUUUAGAUGCUCACACAUGUUUAAGUAUCAGUCUAAUUGCUUUAACUAGACCUGCUUGGCUGUAAAGCAAUUUUCAUUUGCACUUAAUUGUUCGGUAAAAUUUACAUCUUUAGUCCCUUUUCAUUUAGUUCAUUUAAUUUUAAGUCCAUAAUAUUGGGCGUCAUUCCUCAUGUAUUCAGUAUGUUUAAUCCCCUCUAUUGGAUACUGUGGAUAAUAUAUGUGUAACUAAAAAGUGUGGAGAAUCCAGUAUAAGCAGUAAAAUGCUGCAGAGCUUCCACACACACACACACACACACACACACAC